AAGUAUUAUCUCUAUAAAGACUUACUAGAGAAGUUUCUCUGAUUGCAUAAAGAACCAGAAAUCAAGGAGGUGCAGUGUGAACAGGUACUUGGUGUUGUUUUGUUGCAACUACCAUUUCCCAUUGAUGAUUGUUGUUCUCUUCCGUUUAGGGAGAGUAAGAGGGAAAGAAUGCCAAGUGGU
rnacentral:snoRNA from 1 species